rnacentral:rRNA from 1 species
GUUAAGCACGCUUGGGAUAGAGUAUUACUUGGAUGGGUGACCUCCCGGGAAGUCCUAGUGUUGCACUCC